rnacentral:rRNA from 1 species
UGAGGAAUAUUGCGCAAUGGAGGAAACUCUGACGCAGCAACGCCGCGUGGGUGAAGAAGGCUUUCGGGUUGUAAAGCCCUGUCAGGUGGGAAGAAACCCUGGGGUGCGAAUAGAGCUCCAGGCUGACGGUACCACCGGAGGAAGCACCGGCUAACUCCGUGCCAGCAGCCGCGGUAAGACGGAGGGUGCAAGCGUUGUUCGGAAUCACUGGGCGUAAAGCGCGUGUAGGCGGUCUGAUAAGUCGGUUGUGAAAGCCCUGGGCUCAACCCCGGAAGCGCAUCCGAAACUGGCAGGCUUGAGUACGGGAGAGGGAAGUGGAAUUCCUGGUGUAGAGGUGAAAUUCGUAGAUAUCAGGAGGAACACCGGUGGCGAAGGCGGCUUCCUGGACCGAUACUGACGCUGAGACGCGAAAGCGUGGGGAGCAAACA